AGCGCAUGUUAGUACGGCGUUGAAAGCGAACACUGUUUGUUCUAUUCUCUCCUGCAGUUCGGCAAAACUACUACCUACAUUUUGUGUUAUACAAGGCAUCGUUGUUUCACCCUUUCCCUUGUUAUUAAACCUGGAGUCAACCUUCAA